AGCGUUAUUGUGCUUUUUCCUUUUUUUCCUCUUUCCCUUCUCCCUUUACUUUCUUUCGCCCUUUUUUUUUACCUUUUCUUCCUUUUUUCAUGGUUCUUUCACUCGUGCGCGCUAACUUGUCCGCUUUUGAGCAGUUCGAAUACACUCUUCUUUCCCGCCCGUUUCUCGAGCAUGGAUCUUCGUUCAUUCUUUUCACUAGCAUCGGAUCAAUUCGAUUUAGGACCUAACCACCAGUUCGACCAGUUACCGCGGUUCAACUUUGCUGUUUUUCUUAACCAGUAGAUGCGACUUUAGAUAAGAGUUUUGACAAGUGCGCCUGCGACCGUCUAUGGGGUGCCGACUGAACGACGAGCCAUGCCUUCAGGAACUCAGGGAGAGGCACGUACGAGUGAGUGGACAUGACAUCCGCCUACGCUAAGCUACCACCAUCUAAGGUGCGUUUAUUUUGGCGACCUUUACGACACGAGUUUACGAUCGGCUGAACGCAUUCUGUUGAACUUCGUAAUGAUUUUCGGAAGUUUGCGGAAAAAACAUCGAGGAAGAGAAAAAAAGAUUUUUAGACCGUUCAACUCUAUCUCAAAAGGGUUGGUUCCAUCCAGGAGAGACAAUAAAAUUCGUUAAAUUAUUAGCCGUUAUCUUGGACGGGACUAGACAGCAGAAAUAAGAAAGUGAUUCUUUUGAAAAAUGAAAUAGUAUUAAAAAAAAAAAAAAAAAAUGAAAGAAAAAGGAACAACACAACACAACAACGUUCGACGAACGUAGAGAGAAAUGACCUAAUGGUGAAAGAGUAGGAGGGAGGAGAGAAGAAGAGAAAGAAGUGAGUGAAGAAGGUAGAGGGGGUUGAAGAGGGACGCGAAAAGAACGACGCGUAUCGUAGUUCAUGGAGAAAGGAACGAAAAUGUUAAGAAAAGGCAAAGGUUCAACAGGGAUAAGUCCAACAGGAAUAUUGAAAGCCGGUCCUUCGAACGAGGCCAGCGAUCAAGAGAGCCAAUUAUCUCAAAGACCCACCACACCACUACUCCUCGUUCCAACCCUCACCCACCCCCUUUCUCUCUCUCUCUCUCUCUCUCUCUUUUCUUCUUCGCCCCCACAUACGCGUACUCACGUUGAACAUAUUUUUCCUACGUACCUUAUGCGAAUACUCAAAGUACACUCAAGCUACCGAAGUACUCACAUACUCGAAUAGUAUAUUCGAACGCGCGUUCGUUCGUUCGUUCGUUCGUUCGUUCGUUCGUUCGUUCCAUUUCGUUUCGUUUCGUUCGUUUAUUCGAAGAGCACCGUAUACAUAAUACCUACGUACGUAGAUAGAUACGUGGAGGUACAUUAUGCGAAUCGAGCCUCAUAGAUCGUUGCCGUUCUAAUAAAGCUAAGGGUACUUUCUCGCGACUACCCCCUCGCUUCUCCCUCUAUCCUAUUUCUCAAUCUCUUUUUCUCUCCUUCUUUUCUCCUGCUAACAUUUACCUUGUCAACAUUUUUAUUAAAAAAAUAUCGUUAACUUUUUGCACGUCAAGUUUACAUAUAUAAAUAUAUACACAUACGUAUAAGAUAUCUCUGUCUAUUCAAGUAUAAAUUAUUUUCUUAUUUUUGUCGACAAUUUCGAAUCGAAUAGUUCAUUGCUUUAAAUGUAUAUGUGUAUGUUUUAUUUGGGGGUUGUUUCUUAUUAAGAAUACAAUUUCACAAUGGUAGUUUCGAUAUUGAGUUAACGAUUAAUGAAAAAUAACAACGUUGGCGUACCUGUUAUCGUUCUUUGAUAAAUUUAAAAAAAGAAAGGAAAAAAAUACUCUUAGCGAGAAAAACGAAGGACUUUGUGGUGUAGUCCAAGUUAGAUUAUAUGGACCGACGGAGCAAUCUUAUGGAAUGGAGCUACUGAAAUCUUAAUUCGAGUCGGCGCGCUGUGCCAUUGGAUACGUCGACUGGGGGUGGCGCCUUUCAAAAGCGACGCUUACAAGCACGUUACACACACGGUUAGGUAAUUAUAUUUACCUUUUCAGCUUUAUUAUUUAUGUCUGCUGCAAAGGGGUAGAGCCUUAUGGUUCCUCUCUCCUUCCUUCCCCCUCUAACCCCUUCAUCCUCUUUCUUUCUUUCUUUCUUUCCUUUCUUUUCUUUUCUUUUCUUUUCUAUGUUGCACUCGAGGACGAAAAAUCAAAUUACAUAAUCCUUUCCUUUAAUAGUCAGAAGGCUUAUAUUAUUUUUUGAAUGAAAUAACGUUGAGUAAUUCAAAAUAAUCUCUUAACUAUUUCGAAAAUAAUUUUUACUUUACACAGAUUCAUUUUGGAAAAUGUACUUAUUCGAAAAGUUUGUAUGUAACCUCAACAUCGAGUAAACAACUGCAGAUUUUAAUAUGUAUUCAAAUGAGUUUCUAGAUACGCAGAAACCAUGUUGGAAAAAUUACAAGGAAAACUUUUAGCAAGCAGUAUCGAUGUGUAAAAAAAUGUUUGUUUGUUUUUGUUUGAAAAGAUACAAAGACAAAUUAGAUCACGAACGAAGUUGGAACUAUAAUGACAACGAAAAAUGGUUUGAGGUAAUUGAAUAGGACAGCUAUGAAAGAGAACAGGAGGAAAGCAAAAAACUAACUUCGUGUUACGCAAGAUAAAAUUUGAAGAUCCACUUGAAGGCGAGAUGAUCAAGUUGAACCUUGUAGUAGAAUUGCAUAGGAUCAUUUAAGAGUGUGGGAAAGGGUUGGAUAGUGUGGGAAGGUUAAACGAGAACGAGUUAGAGACGGGAUACGAUUCUGCUUGUCUCUGGGACGGAAGUGACGUCGCAGUCACCAGCGGAAAUUCGUACUGGAAAUUCCGAUGGGUUCGAGAGGUUGUGGGAGAAAGAUAGGAAAAUGGGGUGGUAGUCCUUGUUAGACCAAACAGUUACCCAGAGAUUUGAGUAGACCAAGUACCAUUCUUGCUCGAGUUUCCUCGCAAUCCUUGGGAUUGUUUGAAUAAGAUGCCAAUUGAACUUGUCGAAGACAUCGCUGGACCAAGGUUAAACGGACAUUCAGAAUUUGAAGAUUCAUAAAAAUCAGGAUAACAGAGAAAAAGAGAGAGAGAGAGAGUCUGAAGGUCGUUUGAACGAGCAUCCUCCCCCUUGGAGUGUUAGGUGGUCCAAUUUGAGGAGGUACUUCACAGGGAGAAAAAAAAAUAAGAUGAAAAAAAGUAAGAGAAGUGCCGUACGUGUGGUGGGCCCAAAUGGUAAGAGGGGAAAAAGGCAAGAGGAGGAACGUCAAAUUGAUCCAUAUUAAUAAGAACGGAGAUUCGCGUUGCCGGACUUUUGCAUAAAUUUGAAUCGGCCCUCAUGCAGCUCGCGGCAAGGGUUGCGAAUUUGAAUAAUCGAGAAUAAUUUCCGAAGUUUUCUCGUGCAAACGCGAGGUAGCGUGCGCGGGUCCGCGACUACGGACGUGAUCAGCCGACGUUUCGAAAUAUUUCCUAGUGUAACGCUUUUCUCUCUUCUUUUACCUCACUUCCCCGUACUAGAGUACCAUCCAUCCACCCACAGUGCCAUCUCGUUCCGUCCGGUAGAUGUAGGUAAUUAACCGCAUGCACCAGCCGGAAUUGGAAAAAUACAGAACGCUUUAGAAAUCAGGCUGCGUUUCCGCUGUGUUUGUGGUUUUAAUAAAUUUUACGGACACCCGCGCCUACCUGCCCGCCUGCCUGUCUGCCUGCCGCACGCUUCUUUCCUUUUCUUCCUAUCAUUUUUUUUGUCCUCACCUCGAAAAAGAAAAAUGUAGAGUAAUUUUUACCAUACGCUCUGUCACGAAUCUAAAGUUUUUGGCUUUAUGGAAAAGGUGGUUGGUUAUUAACAUAUGAGUCUAGAACCCUGGAUGGACGAGACGCGGCGUAUCGCGUGAUUCGUUUAAAAUAUUCUAGCCGAAGGCGACACUAACGUCUAGGGAAUUCCUACUUGUUCAAAUACAAUUGGAUUUUGAUUUGAGAGAAUACCGAAAAGUGUCUACGGUAAACUUGAUUUUCCUAUUGCAUAGAUUAUUAAAAUUGAAUUCAAUGGAAGAAUAAUAAUAAGUGUGAUAGAUAUUUAUUUUAUAGAA
rnacentral:lncRNA from 1 species